AUGCAAGUGGCUGAGAGGCACACUUACUGCCCCUUCAUGAUUCACCUCUGCACUCAUGUCAUGGGCACGCUCUUAAGAGCUGCUGGCGCCCCACAACUGACCAGGGUGGUGUACUGGAGCCAGGCCCUUUCUGCCUAAGCAGGACACUCAAAGAGGCAGUCUUUGCCCUGCAGCCCUCCACUGGCCCAGCCAACACUCUCUCAGAGCUUAGACAUCUGCUUCUCAGAGCACCCAAACUGACAGGGUGUAUCCAGUAUAUUUGAUUCUGAAGCUAGAGAGACCCAGCUGGCCAUACACAUUGGGGAAUCAUUGACAGAUGGCAGCUGAGAUCUGAGAGCGGUUGACCUCACUUCACAAGGUUGAGUGGAAUUAGGAGGGACAAACUUCUGUGACAGGAGCCUGAGGAGCACCAAACAAAGAGCAAGAGACAUCGGGGAUGCCCACACACAGAGGAAAGGCCACGUGAGCACAUGGCUAGAAGGUGAACAACUACAAGCCAAGGAGAGAUGCCGCAUGGGGAACUAAACCUCUUGACAUCACGAUCUUAAACCUCCAUCCUCCAGAACUGUGGUUGGACUGAAAUCCAGUAUGAAUCAUAUAAGAGAGAUUUAGAAGCACGUGAAGAUAAAUGUUUCCCAUGUGACACAGAGCAGCACAUCUGGAAGGAUGAAAUUUAAUGAUUUCCAAAGCACAAUUUUCCCAGUCUGGCAAAGAAUUUUUGAAGCACAUAGCACCUUCAGAAUGUAUGCAAACAAGGAACUGACAUUGAAGAAACUGGACAGUAGCCUUCUUUCCCUGGAACAAAAUGAUAUUGGAUACAUUUGCUAUAUUGCCAGCUCUUACUCAUUGUGCUGGGAAUUGCUUUCAAGUCCUGUGACUCCAGGGAGAACCCAGCCCAUUUCACAGGAUGUUUAAUGUGUGCUCACAAAUAGAUUCCAUCAGCUCUCCUACGGCACCCAGGAGGUCAGCUGCCCCAUGGAGGAAGCAAGAUUUGUGUGCAUUAGAAAUAAAUGAACUGUUGGAGAUAGGAUCUUCUUUGUUGACAAAACAAGUCUUGAAGAUAAGAGAUCAAGGCUUCUAGUUAAAUGGAGCAGUGACCUUAUCAGAAAUCUCAAAGCAGAAAAGUCUGUCAGAAAAACAGCAUCAGAUCAAGGAAACCAAGUACAUGGAGCUAAUUUUUGACUCUAAAGAAAGGCAAGAUUAUUUAAUAAUAAUGAUAAUGGCACAGUUUGUUAACUAUGUGAAGAAAAUCAAAUAUAGCUUUAUCUCCAUUAUACAACCAAAUAUAUUCUACAUGGAUUAAAAUAUUAAAUGUAAAAGUUAAUCAAACCAAUAAGUCAAAAAAGAAAAAAAUAGAAAAAAUAUCCAUAAAAAUUUAUUGAAUUACAAAAUGGUCAUAAAAUAUAUUAGUUCAAAACAAUGGAAUAAUUCAUAAAGGAUGACUAUUAUAGAGAUUUUCCCGUAGAGAGUUCUAAAAUUUAUGUGACUCAAAAAAUGCCUUAUAUAAAACUAAUAUCAAAUAAAAAUUUUCAGAAAAUAUUUGCUUGCAUAAGGCAAAAGAGCUAAUAACCUUAAUGUAUAAAAGUUCCUUCAAACUAAGUACCAUCUCAGAAGAAAAAAAAUCUCAAAGUGGUAAUCAAAUAAUAAAAAUUGUAAUACCAGGUCUCGAUGACUUAGCUAGGUGUGGUGGUGCACACGCCUGUCGUCCCAGCUACUCGGGAGACUGAGGCAGAAGAAUCACUUGAACCCAGGAGGUGGAGUUUGCAGUGAGCCAAGAUCACGCCACUGCACUCCAGCCUGGGGACAGAGCGAGACUCUGUCAAAAAACAAAACAAAACAAAAUAAAACUUCCCUUAAUUCUGCAACAUUUCUGAUUAGACCAAGUAGCAUCAGGAAAGAUACAGAAGAACUUUCCCUCCUCCAACAGCUAAGUUCAACUAAAUUUCUGGACACUGUAUAUAUUUUAACCUCCCCCACCUAAAAUAAAAGAAAAAAAAGAGAAGACUUUGCAGUAUGGAGAAAAGGUAGACAAGCCAGGGACCUUGGUCUCAAAGAACAACAUGGUGGUGGGUUUCCUGGGUUUUCUUUUCCAUCAUAUAUCUCAGACUUGGAGAUGAAAAAUCAGCAAUCCAGAAACAACAUUGGAUGGAGAAAAAGCUGCAAUGAAAGAUUGCCAUCUCUAGCAAAGGAGCAGAAAAGGGGCAGACUAUCAAGGCAGAAAACUUUCAGGCUGUAACUGCUCUACUCCAACCACAUCCAGAAAACAAAACUAAACAAACAAACAAAAAAAACUUGUGGCCUCAUUUUCACUCAUGCUAACAAAGCCCAAGUGGGGAGUCUAAACUGCCACCCUCACAAAGCUGUAAAUAGGUGCCCGCAAUACCCCUACAGGAGUGGUGUCAGAGGACAUGGAAAAGGGAGCCAAAACUUUCAUUUCUGUUAGCCAGUAACAAGAGUCUACUGCAGUGUAAAUGGAGACCAUAUGGGGAACUUGGACUUUCAUGCUACCUGGCAGUGACGAGGCAGCCCUUCUUUCCCUGAUGGAAUGGCAUCAGAGGAUCCCAGUGGGAAGUGAGGACAUUCACUACCACUAAUUAGUAACAAGGCCACCACCACUAUGGUGUCAAUAGAGAUCACAUGGAGAGGCAGCACAAAUAUCUAUGCCCAGUAGUUAUUAAGACCUGCUUCUCUCAGCAGAGUCAGGUGUCAGUGGAGGAGAAGUGAAGGAUCUGGAAGUGAAUUCUACCUUCCAGUAGAAAGCUGUGUUGAGCCACUUUUCCCCCUUUCAAAGCAGUGCCUAAAAAAGCAGCUGGAGGAUAAAGUUUGAAUAAGAUCCAAAGACUCUUAACGUAAUAUGAAUGUGACCAGGUUUCAAUCAAAAAUUGCUUGUCAUACAAAUAACAAGGAAAAUUUCAAAAAGGAUAAAAAGUAAAUUCAUUAUAUGCCAAUAGUGAGAAGGCAGAGCUAUUAAAAUAAUCUGACAGAGAUUGUAGAGCAACUGUGGUAAAAAUACUUCAACAAUCAAAACAUGCUUGAAACAAAUUUAAAAAACAGAGUUUCAGCACAGAUAUAUAAGACACAAAGAAGAACCACUGGACAUUUUAGAACAGAAAAAUGUAAUAACUUAAGUGAAAGCUUAAUGGAUGAUAUCAACAGCAGAAUAGAAGAGACAGAAGAAGAAAACAGGUAGCUUUAAGAUAGAAGAAGAAAAAUCACAUAAUCUAAACAACAGAGAGGAUAAAGGAAAAGAAAAUGAACAGAGCCUCCAAGAUCUGUGGACUAUAACAAAAUAUCUAGCAAAGACCUGGAAGAAGAGAAAUAGAGUGGGUCUAAAAAUGUGCUCCAAGUACACAUGGUCACAAAGAUGAGAACAAUAGACACUGAGGACUACUUGGAGGGGGAGACUGGGAGGAGAGUGAGGGUCAUAAAACUACCGAUUGGGUAUCUUGCUCACUGCCUGGAUGAUGGAAUCAUUUGUACACCAAACCCCAGUACUACACUGCCCAUGUAACAAACCUGCACAUAUACACCCUGAAUCUAAAAUAAAAGUUGAAUAAAUACAUAAAUAUAUAAAAAAUAAAAAUGUACACCAAAAAAUAGCAUCUAAAAUCUACCAAUUUCAUUAGAGACAUAAACCUACAGAAUAUGAAUAAAUAUGAAUGAACCCUAAACAGGGUAAUCACAAAGAUAUUCACACCAAGUUCCCUUGUAAUUAAACAUCUGAGAACUAGAAACAAAGAAAAAAUUUUGAAAGCAAUCAGAGAAAAGACACUUGACCAAUACGAGAAAAGCAAUUAAAAUGACAGAUUUCUCAUCAGAAACCACAGAGGAGAGAUGGAAGUGGCACGAUAUUUUUCAGGUGUCAAAAGAAAAGAGCUCUCAACCUAGGCUGACAAUCCUCUACCCAGGAUGAAAUCCUAGUUUCACAAUUGCAUUAGUCCAUUCUCACAUUGCUAUAAAGAACUACCUGAGACUGGGUAAUUUAUGAAGAAAAGAGCUUUAAUUGGCUCAUAGUUCUGCAGGCUGUACAGGAGGUGUGACUCAGGAGGCCUCAGUAAACUUAGGAUCAAAGCAGAAGGCGAAGGGGAAGCAGACACAUCUUCAUAUGGCAGAACAGGAGAGAAAAAGAGUGAAGGGGAACGUGCCACACACUUUUAAACAACCAGAUCUUGUUAGAACUCUAUCACAAGACAGCACUGGGGGAUGGUGCGAAACCAUUGGAAACCACCCCCAUGAUUCAAUCACCUCCCACCAGGGCCCUCCUCCAACACUGCGGAUUACAAUUCAACAUGAGAUUUGGGUGGGAGACAGAAACAAACCAUAUCAACAAUCCUAUACCCUGAAUAUUCAAUCCUAUAACCAAAGUGAAAGGGAAAUCAUAAUAUUCUUAAGCUGAAGAAAAAGUAAGAUAAUUUACUAUCCUAUCCAAAAAGUAUACCUAAAGAAAGUUCUCUAAACAGAAGGAAAACAAAAGAAAGACACCAGGAAAGGAAGAAAACAGAAAAAAAUAAGGUAAAUAAAAUGGGAUUUCCUUCUCCUUUGGGGUUUUCUAAAUUAUGUUUGAUCGUUAAGUCAAAAUUAUAACACUGAUUUUAUUCUAAAUUUAUGUAGAGAUAAUAUUUAGAACUAUUAUUAUAUAAACAUGGGACAGUAAAGGGGCAUAGAAAAGAGGUAAGGAUUAUAUAUUUCACUUCAACUGAAAAAAAAUGACAUCAGCACCUUGUAAUAAGUUUAUGUAUAGAAAAUUGUAUAUUCAGGCGUACCCAUUUUACCGCACUUCGCUUUAUGGUGCUUUGCAGAUAUGAUGUUUUUUACAAAUUGGAGGUUUGUGGCAACUCUGCAUUACGCACAUCUAUGGGUGCUGUUUUCUUAACAGCAUGUGCUCACUUAGUGUCUUUGUAUCAGCACUUUUUAGCAAUAAAGUGUUUUGUAACUGAGGUAUGUACAUGUUUUUAGAAAUAUGCUAUUGCACACUUCAUAGUAUGGUAUAAAUAUAACUUUUACAUGUGCUGGGAAAUCAGAAAUUUGUGUAACUCACUUUAUUGCCAUAUUUGCUUUAUUGUGGUGGUCUGGAACUCAACCUGCAAUAUCUCUGAGAUAUGUUUGUAUAAUGUAAUACCUAUAGUGAAACAAGUUAUAUGAAAGAUACAUUCAAAACACUAUAGGUAAAUCCAAAUGAAAUUAUAGUGACCAGCCUGGGCAGCAUGGUGAAACUCUGUCUCUACUAAAAAUAGAAAAAUUAGCUGAGCAUGGUGGCACAUGCCUGUAAUCCCAGCUACUCGGGAGACUGAGGCAUUAUUGCUUGAAUCCCUGAGGCAGAGGUUGCAAUGAGCCGAGAUCGCACCACUGCACUCUAACCUGGGUGACAGAGCAAGAUUGUAUCUCCAAAAAAAAAAAAAAAAAAAUUAUAAAAAAUGUUCAAUUAACCCACAGCAGGAUAGGAAAAAAGAAGAUAUUGAAAGGAAAAGUAGGGAGCAGAAAUAAAGCCUAAAAUAAAAUGCAGAUCUAAAUACUAGCACAUCGAUAACUAAUUAAAUGCAGAUGUUCUAAAAUCACUAAUUAAAAAAGAGUGGCAAAUGGAUUUUAAAAUCAUGACAAUUACAGAAUAUUAAAAACUCUUCAAAUAUAAUGAUACAGGCAGGCUGAAAUUAAAAGAGUAGUAGAAAAAUAUAAAAUUCAGUCAUGAAUCAGACAAAAAUAGAAAUGACUAAAUUAAUUCCAGUAAAGUAGAUUUUGUAGCAAAGAAAUUACCAGAGAGAGAGAGGAAUAGUGUAUAAUGACAAAAGUGUCAGUCCACCACAAAGACAUUGCAAUGGUAGAUGGAGCAUGCACCAAGUAAUGUAAUUGAAAACAUGUGAAGCAAAAACUGAAAUAAAGAAAAAGAGACACAGACAUAUCCACAAUGAUGGAUAAAGACUUCAUACUUCUCUCAACAAUCGAUAGAAAAACUAGACAUAAAAUCAACAUGGAGAUAAGAACCCAACAAUACCAUCAACCAACAGAAUCUAAAUAACAUUUAUAAAAAUUCCACUCAACAUCAGCAGAAUACACAUUAUUUUCAAAUGUCCAUGGAACAAGUACCAAAAUCAGCCAUAUUCUGGGCCAUAAGACAGACCUCAACAAAUAGAAAAGAUUUGAGAUCAUGCAGAGAAUGUCUUCCAAACAUAAUGGUAUCAAAUUAGAAAUCACUAAUAGAAAUAAAACCAAAAAUAUCUCUUCACACUUGGCAACAAGACAACCUAUUACUAAAUAAUCCAUGAGUCAAAAAGGAAUUAUCAAGAGAAAGAAAAAAAUACAUCAAAUUGAAUGAAAGUUAAAACAUGUCAAAAUGUGUAGAACACAGUGAAAGCCAUGCUGAGAGGAAAAAUUAUAGCACUAAGUGCAUACAUUAGAAAAGAGUUUGAAAAGGCUCAAAACAAUAAUGUGAGCUUUCACCUCAAAAACCUAGUAAGUGACUAAAAAAUAAACCCAAAACAUUAUAAGUCAUUAGAGAAUUGCAAAUUAAAACAACAAUGAAAUACCAUUAUGCAAGCAUUAGAAUGAAUAAAAAUCCAAAAACUGACAAUACUAAAUGCUGUUAAGGAUGUGGAACAAUAGGAACUCUCCUUCAUUGCUAGCAGUAAUGCAAAAUUGUACAGCUAAUUUAGGAGAUCAUUUGGUGGUUUCAUAUGAAACUAAACAUAGUCUUACCACACAACCCAGCAAUUGCCUACUUAGAUAAUUAUCCUGAUGAGUUGAAAACUUAUGUCCACAUAAAAACUUGCGUAUGAAUGUUUACAUCAGUUUUAUUCUUAAUCACCAGAAUCUGAAAGCUAACCAAAAUAUUUUUUAGUAGAUGAAUAAACUCUAGUACAUCCAUAAAAUUGAAUAUAAUUGUAGAUAAUAUUAAUGAACUAUAUAUUAUAUAAUUCCAACUGCAUGACAAUCUUGAAAAAAGCAAAACUAUGGAGACCUUAAAAAGAUCUGUGGUUUCCAGAAGUUGAGGUGGGGUAUCAGGGAGGACAGGAGGGAUAAAUAGAUGGAACAUAUGAGAUUUUUAGGAUGAUGAAACUGUGCUGUGUGGUGGAUAUAAGGCAUGCAUUAGUCAAAACCUAUAGAAGAGUACCACACAAAAAAAGUAAACCUUAAUAUAAACUACCAACUUCACUUAAUAAUAAUGUAAUAGUAUUGGCUCAUUAAUUGUAACAAAUGCAUCAUUCUAUACUAUGCAAAAUGUUAAUAGAGGAAAUUAUAUGGGAGUGGGGGAGUAUUAUCUGCACAAUAUUUUUGCUCUAAAAUGUUGAGGUAGAUUUGUACCUGAUUUGUUGAGAGGUUUUAUCAUGAAGGGAUGUCAAAUUUUGUCAAAUCCUUCUUCUGGCUUAUUGAGAUGGUCAUAUGAUUUUUACUCUUUAUUCUAUUAAUACGUUACAUUUAUGAUUUGCAUACAUUAAACCAUUCUUGCAUCCUUGGGAUCGAUCUUACUUGUUCAUGGUGAAUAAUCUUUUUAAUGUGCUAUUGACUUUUGUUUGCUAGUGUUUUGUUGAGUAUUUUUGCAUCUAUGUUCAUUAGCAAUAUUAGCCUGUUUUUUUCUUUUUUAUUGAAAGCUUUCCCUCUAAGAUUUGGAAGAAGACAAGGAUGCCCAUUUUCACAACUCCUUGACAUAGUAGUGAAAGUCCUUUCUACAGCAAUUAGGCAAAAGAAAGAAAUAAAAUACAUCCAAAUAGGAAAGGAGGAGGAAGUCAAAUUGUCCCUAUUUGCAGAUGACAUAAUCUUACACAUAGAAUACUCUAAAGACUCCACCAAAAACCUGUUAGAACUAAUAAACAAAUACAGUAAAAAUGCAGGAUAUAAGAUUGAUAUAAAAAAUCAGUGGUGUUUUUAUACACCAAUGGUGAACUAUCUGAGAAAGAAAAGAAGAAAGUAAUUCCAUUUACAGUUGCUACAAAUAAAUAAAUACCUAUGAAUAAAUCUAACCAGGGAGGUAAAAUACCUCUACAAUGAAAACUGUAAAACUGAUUAAAUGAGUUAAAGGGGAUAAAAAUUAAUGGAAAGAUAUUUGAUGCUCAUGAAUUGGAAGGAUUAAUAUUAUUAAAUGUUCAUACUGCUUAAGACAAUCUACAGAUUCAAUACAGUCCUUAUCAAAAAUUCCAGUGUCAUUCUUCACAGAAAUAAAAAAGAACAAUCCUAAAAUUUGUAUGAAAUAAAAAAAGACCCCAAAUAGCCAAAACAAUCUUGAGCAAAAAGAACAAAGCUGUAGGCAUUACACUACCCAAUUUUAAAAUCAAAUCUAUAGUAACCAAAACAGCAUGAUAUUGGCAUAAAAAUACAUACACAGAUCAAUGGUACAAAAUAGAAAGCUCAGAAACAAAUCCAUGCAUUUACAACCAAUUGAUUUUCAAUAAAGUUGCCAAGAACACACAAUGGGAAAAUAAAUGGUGCUGGGAAAACUGGAUAUCCACAUGCAAAAGAAUGAAACUUGACCCUAUCUCUCAUGAUAUACAAAAAUCUACUCGAAAUAAUCUACUCUUAAAUAUAAGACUCAAACUAUAAAAUUAAUACAAAAAAGGGGGUGAACACUACAUGAUAUCAGUCUGGACAUGGAUUUUUUAGACAAGACCUCAAAAGAAAGAACAACAAAAACAAAAAUCAACAAAAACAAAAAUAAACAAAUAGGACAACAUCAAACUAAAAAAGUUCUGCACAGCAAAGGAAAAAAUCAACAGCAUGAAGAAGCAACCAUAGAAUGAGAGAAAACAUUUCCAUGUUAUAUACCUUACAAAGAGUUAAUACCCAGAAUUUAUAAGAACUCAACUCAAUGGCAAAAACAACUAAUUCAAUUUAAAAGUAGACAGAGCAAGACUCUGUCUCAAAAUAAAUAAAUAAAUAAAUAAAUAAAUAAAAGUAGACAAAAGACCUGUUUAGACAUAUCUUCAAAGAAGACAUACAAAUGGCCAACAAGUUUAUGAAAAAAUGCUCAACAUCAGCAACCAUCAGGAAAAUGCAAAUCAAAACCACAAUGUGAUAUCACCUCACCCCAGUUAAAAUAACUAUUACGAAAAAAAACAAAAAAUAACAAUGCUGUUGAGGAUAUGGAAAAAUGGGAACCCUUAUAGAUUGUUAGUGGGAAUGUAAAUUAAUACAGCCUUUAUGGAAAACAGUAGGACAUUCCUCAAAAAAUUAAAAUCAGAUCUACCGUAUCACCCAGCAGUCCCAUUACUGGGUAUAUAUCCAAAAGAAAUACAAUCAGUAUGUCAAAAAGAGAUCUCAUGUUUAUUGCAGGACUAUUCACAAUAUCCAAGAUGUGGAAUCAAAUUAAAGACCCACCAAUUAAUAAAUGGAUAAGGAAAAUGUGGUAUGUGUAUAUAUAUAUAUAUAUAUAUAUAUAUACACACACAAUGGAAUAUUAUUCAGCCACACAAAAUAAUAAAAUUGUGUCAUUGUGCAACAUGGAUAAGCCUGAAGGACAUUAUGUUAAGUAAAUUAAGCCAGGCACAGAAAGACAAAUGCCACAUGAUCCCAUUCAUAUGUAAUACCUAAAAAAAUUGAUCACAAAAAAGUUCAGAGUAGAAUAGUUGUUACCAGAGAGUUAGGAGAAUACAAGAAAAAGGGAGAUGGGGAGGGGCUGGUCAUUGGGUACAAUGUUACAGCUGGAUAAGAAUAAGAAGUUCCAUUACUUUAUAGCACAACAGGGUGACUGUAGCUAACAAUAAUGCAUUGUAUAUUUCAAAUAGCGAGGAAAGAGGUUUUUGAAUGUUCUUAUAACAAUGAAAUGGGCCAGGUGCAAUAUGAGAGGCUUGAGCGUUGCUUAAGGCAGAGUUCAAGAUCAGUCUGGGCAACAUAGCAAGCCCCCAUCUUAGGUUUGUUUGUAUGCACCUGUAGUCCCAGCCAUUCAGGAGGCUGAGGUGGGAGGAUCACUUGAGCCAGGAAGGUUGAGGCUACAAUGAGCUAUGAUCAUGCUGCCGCACCCCAGUCUGGGCAACAGAACUAGAUCCUAUCUCACAAACAAACAAACAAAGAUACAAUACAUGUUUAAAGUGAUGGAUAUGCUAAUUAUCACGAUUUUAUCAUUACACAACAUAUAUAUAUGGCAACAUUACGUUGUAAUACAUGUAAACAUGUGCAAUUAUUUUUUGUCAAAAAAGAAUAAAGAUGUGUUGUCAAAAACAUGUAAAAAUAAAUAAAAAUAUAAUCUACUAAGUAAAAAGACUUAAUUAAAAUUCAACAUACAUUCAUAAUUAAAAGCUCAAAUAAUGAAAUAGAGGAUAAUUUUCUCACCUUGAUACAAAGCAUCAGCUGAAAAGCUGCAACUAACAUUAUACUGACUGGGGAGAAUUGAUACUUUCUCCUCAAGAUCAGGUACAGAAACAGGAUGUUAAUUCUCACCACUUUUAGUCAACUUAGUGCUGGAAGUUCUGGUAAGUACAAUAGGGCAAGAUAAAGAAAGCUGAAAGACUACAGAUCAGGAUGUAAUAUAUAAAAUCAUCCCAUUUGCGGAAGGCACAAUUGUCUUCUACAUAGAAAAUUCCAAUGAAUCUACAAAAAUCUUGUACAAACUAACAACUAAUAACUAAUCAGCAAGGUCAUAGGACAAAAAAUAUGCAAAAAUUAAUUUUAAUUCUACAUAUUUGCAAUAAACACAUGAACCCCAACACUUAAAAUACAAUUAUAAUCCCUCAAAAAUAAAAAUGUAGGUAUAAAUCUAACAAAACAUUUACAGAAAUUAUAUAUUAAAAUUAUACAACACUAAUGUAUUAAUUUCCUUUUGCUGCUGUAACAAAUGACCACAAACAUAGUGGCUUAAACCAAUACAAGUUUAUCAGAACUCUAGAGAUCAUAUGUCUUAAAUACGUUUCAUGAGACCAAAAUCAAUGCAUUGGCAGGCAUGGAUUCCUUCUGGAAGCUCUUUGGGAGACUGCAUUUCUUCACCUUUUCCAGCUUCUAGGGGCUGCUUCCAUUCCUUGGCACGUGGCUCCAGCUAGCAGUUUCAUCACUCUGAUCUCUGCUUCCAUAGUCACAUCUACUUCUCUGUAUCCUCUGCCUCCCUUUUUCACUUAAAGAAACAUUACAAGUACAUUGGACCUACAAGAAUAAUACACGAUAAUCUCACUAUUUCUUUAUUUCUCUUCCUUCCUUCUUUCCUUCCUUCCUCUUUCUUUCUUUUUCUUUCUUUCUUUCUCUUUCUUUCUUUCUUUCUUUCUUUCUUUCUUUCUUUCUUUCUUUCUUCUUUCUCUCUCUCUCUUUCUUUCUUUCUUUUCUUUCUUUCUUUUCUCUCUUUCUUUCUCUUUCUCCCUUCUUUCUUUCCUUCCUUCCUUCCUUCCUUUCUUUCUUUUUUUCUUUUGACAGAGUCUUGCUCUUUUGCCCAGGUUGGAGUGCAGUGACAGGAUCUCGGCUCACUGCAAGCUCUGCCUCCCAGGGUUCACGCCAUUCUCCUGCCUCAGUCUCCUGAGUAGCUGGGACUAAAGGCGCCCACCACCACGCCUGGCUAAUUUUUUUGUAUUUUUAGUAGAGAUGGGGUUUCAUCGUGUUAGCCAGGAUGGUCUCGAUCUCCUGACUUCGUGAUCCACCUGCCUCAGCCUCCCAAAGUGCUGGGAUUACAGGUGCAAGCCAUAAUCUCACUAUUUCAACAUCCUGACUUAAUCAGAUCUGCAAAGUCCUUUUUGCAAUGUAGUUAAUUUUUAUUCACAGGUUUCAGGGAUCAGUUCAUGAACAUCUCAGAGUGGCCAUCAUUCUGUCUACUAGAGCUAAUGAAAAGUAAGAGCAGUUUUACAUAAAUGAAGAGCUAUACCAUGUUCAUGGUUCGACAGGCUCAGCAUGGUAAAAAUGUCAAUCUCCUCCAAAUUUGAUACACAGGUGUCACACAAUUUCAAUCAAAAUCCCAGGAAGAAUUUUUGCAGAUACAGAAAGAUUCUUCUAAAAUGUAUAUGGCAAGACAGAGAAACAAAUAUAGUUAAAACAAUUUUGGAAAAGAAGAAUUUAUCUACCUAAUUUCAAGGUUUAUUAUAUAACUACACUAAUCAAGACAAAAUGGUUUUGGAAGAAGAACACACACAUAGAUAAAUUUACCAGAAUAGAGAAACCAAAACUAAAUCCAUCCAAAUUUGCCCACCUGAUUUUUGACAAAGAUUCAAGAGCAAUUCAGUGGAGGACAGGUAGCCUUUUAAACAAAUACUGGAGCAAUUGAAGAUUCAUAAGCAAAACUACAGCUCACAUGUUACACAAAAAGCAACUCAAAAUUGAAUUACAAACUUAAAUGUAAAACAAACAAAAAAAAACUGUGAAACUUUCAGAAAGAAAGGAGAAAAUCUUUAGAACCAAGGGACAAAAAGAGUUCUUACACUGGCAUAAAAAUAUCAUCCAUAAAAAUUAAUAAAUUGGACCUCAAGAUGAUUAAAAACUUUUGCUCUGUGAAAAUGGCUAUGAGGUUAUGAGGGUAAAAAUAUAAGUACAGAUGGGGAGAAAAUAUUUGCAAACCACAAAGAGAGUAAGAUUUUGUUAUUUUAAGCCACUAAAUUUGUGGCAAUUUGUUAUGGCAGCAAUAAAAUACUGAUACAGUCUCUUUGAGAAAUAGUGCCAUAUCAGGGGCUUAAUUUUGUUCUCUCCUGACUCCUUGGACAUUCAGAGGCAGCAGUAGCCACUGGCCUUGGAGAAUGCUAGCUAGAGGGAAACUAGGGGCAUCCAUUCAGAUGCCCCUCUUAUAUUUUAGGAUUCCAGGUUUUUCCAUCGAUGAUCCUGAUGAUGGCAGAACAGACCUGCCUUGGCUGAGUAUUUUAAAAAAUCUCUCUGUGGAUUUAUGAAUCUAUCAGAUCUACAAUAUGGUGCUAUAAAUAAUGGUGUAUUUAUCAGCUACUAAAGAGGACCUGUGGCUCUCAAUACUCAGCUUUUAAUGAUUGUUAAAAUUUUCCAUAUCUGAGUAUUCCCCUGCAGAGCAUCAGCACAACUUAGCAAUAAUCGGUCAACUCUGCUGUGUUUGUAGUUGUCGCUCCCUCCUCCCUCUAUCUCUUUCAUAUUCCUGGUUCCUUACACCUGCCACAGUAUUCUCUUCCAUAGAGGCAUUUUUCCUGGUCACCAUUGGUGCAAUAUUUAGCACUUUGUGCCAGGCACUCUGUGCGCCACACCCACUACUUAGGGUGGUAUCUUUACCCAGCAGACUGUGAUGGGCCAGUCCCAAAUCCCCAUUUUACCACUUGUUUUCUCAGACCUCUCCUGGUACCACUUGUGCUACUCAAGAUCUGCUGAGAAGUGCAAGAUAUUUAUUAGGAGAGGGAGAAGGAGAAAGAAGGGUCUUCAGACCAUGAAGUAGAUCUGAUACCCGAGGAAGAAGAAAGGGAAAGAAAGAUUAAAGAAGAGGAGCUUGGACUGAAGCACCAAUCUAAGCAAGGGUUGGCCUGGCUAGUGAGGGAUCCUCAGACGAAUGCCUGCAGGAGUCCUCCAUCUCAUUGGAAUGAACCUGUCUUACCCAUCCCACCGUGUUCAGUCAUUAGCUGCUAGCAGGCCCCCGGGUGAAACAUAGCCUUGGUGCAAAUGCAGUGGUAGAUCCAGAGGGACUGCAGCUGGGGCAGUCAUUUAUGGUCCCAGCAGGAGAUGUGAGAGGUGCAUUUUCAUGGUCCCCAUAGGCAACUGUCCUGAGAAGUUUUUCUCCAAGCGGUGAUUCAGAGAUCCAGAUUCCUUCUACCAAAUCCCCACUACCUCUUCAGAGUCUCCCCUUCAGAGACAUGGCUAACUCAACUGAUCUAUCAGGUGUUCUGUGUUAGGCCACCAAAGAGCAAAGGGAAAAUUAGAUUUCAUGGGAGACUUUUUAGGGACCAAGACUGGAAGUGGUAAACGUAAAUUCUACACACAUUUUAUGGCCCAAACCUGCCAAAUAUCCCCUUCUAAGCACUUUUGGUGAAGACAUAAUGGUGUUUCUGCCACAUGGGAGAUCUUAAAUGUUACUGAGAUGUAUGAUAGCUCAGCUGUGUUGUUGCCAUUCCUGCUGUGUUGUCUAGCCUAUAUUUGUUCUUAUGCAUGGAACUGGUUGAAUCCUGUGUGUCUCUGAAGUUUUAAAACCAGUUUAAAUCUCAAGACUAGUAUUAUAGAACAGAGUAUUUUAGUUUUGUUUAUCUCAGUCCUAACCCAUCCUCUCUAUCUUUCAUGAGGGCCAUCCUCCAACAUUAAGAGCAUCCAUCCUCAUGUUUUACAAGGAAGUGUGUUCUUUCCCUAGGAGCAAUUCUAUUUCUAGUCAUUAAGCCAGCAUUUUUGCUUUCUCUCCAGUAUAUGUACAGAUUUUUAAUGGAAAUAUUCUGGAGCAGUAUGCCAAAAUAUGUUAACAUAAGACUUUU
rnacentral:lncRNA from 1 species